UGUUGACAUUAUAGUUGCGCAGGAACUUUGUUGACUCUCAGGCAAAUCGCACAUCCCCAUGGCGGCAACUUUGCAUGCGGAUGUCAUCCAUAUCAAUUUUCAAUGCCAGUUUUUGCGCCUACAAUGGUGACCACGGGUAACAUGGAAUCAGGGUUCCAUACAGGGACCCUGAGAAACGGCUACCACAUGCAAGGAAGGCAGCAGGCAUGCAAAUGACCCACUCCCGACGCGGGAAGAUAGUGGCAACA